CUGCUUUCCGUCCACUGUGCCAUCGAGCUGGUAAACAAAUACCCUGCUGGCCCAUGAAGGCCAUUUGCUUGCUAGCCAUUCAAGGAGGGGGAUGUUCUGGCUUUAGGAUAGAUUUAGGGGAGCAAGCCGGUGACCACUGCGCCCUCCAGUGAUCUCUGAUGAUAUGCGGGGAUAAUGGGUUACAAAGACAGACAUUAAUAAGUUUCUGUAGAAGUGUAUGUUUUGGUGGACAGCGUUCCUGGAAGAGAGAUCUUAUACUUGCGAAGUGCAUCCUAAGUAAGAGCCUUCAACAAAAGACCUGGGUAUUUCACCUGGAAUCUCUGGCCAACCCUGAAAAUAUAAAAGAAUCUCAAGUGUCCUGUAUGUAUGUGAGGUUCGUAUUGUUUAUUGCGUGUAACAGUGGUUUGUUUUUUGCAUGGAUGAAUAUUAUUAAAUUUUAAUAACAUACCCUGAUUUAUAUAUCUGUUCUGUUCUAAUAAAGAAUUUGGGUAGUUUCCA
rnacentral:lncRNA from 12 species